GGAGAACCUCAUUCAGGGCAGGUCCUAUUCUUUCUGAGGGGACAGAGGGUAGAGGAGAACCUCGUUCAGGGCAGGUCCUAUUCUUUCUGAGGGGACUGAGGGUAGAGGAGAACCUCGUUCAGGGCAGGUCCUAGUCUUUCUGAGGGGACUGAGGGUAGAGGAGAACCUCGUUCAGGGCAGGUCCUAGUCUUUCUGAGGGGACUGAGGGUAGAGGAGAACCUCGUUCAGGGCAGGUCCUAGUCUUUCUGAGGGGACUGGGGGUAGAGGAGAACCUCGUUCAGGGCAGGUCCUAUUCUGUCUGAGGGUAGAGGAGAACCUCAUUCAGGGCAGGUCCUAUUCUGUCUGAGGGGACUGGGGGUAGAGGAGAACCUCGUUCAGGGCAGGUCCUAUUCUUUCUGAGGGGACUGGGGUAGAGGAGAACCUCAUUCAGGGCAGGUCCUAUUCUUUCUGAGGGGACAGGGGGUAGAGGAGAACCUCGUUCAGGGCAGGUCCUAGUCUUUCUGAGGGGACUGAGGGUAGAGGAGAACCUCGUUCAGGGCAGGUCCUAGUCUUUCUGAGGGGACUGGGGGUAGAGGAGAACCUCGUUCAGGGCAGGUCCUAUUCUGUCUGAGGGUAGAGGAGAACCUUAUUCAGGGCAGGUCCUAUUCUGUCUGAGGGGACUGGGGGUAGAGGAGAACCUCGUUCAGGGCAGGUCCUAUUCUUUCUGAGGGGACUGGGGGUAGAGGAGAACCUUAUUCAGGGCAGGUCCUAUUCUGUCUGAGGGGACUGGGGGUAGAGGAGAACCUCGUUCAGGGCAGGUCCUAUUCUUUCUGAGGGGACUGGGGGUAGAGGAGAACCUCGUUCAGGGCAGGUCCUAUUCUUUCUGAGGGGACUGGGGGUAGAGGAGAACCUCGUUCAGGGCAGGUCCUAUUCUUUCUGAGGGGACUGGGGGUAGAGGAGAACCUCGUUCAGGGCAGGUCCUAUUCUGUCUGAGGGGACUGGGGGUAGAGAACCUCAUUCAGGGCAGGUCCAAUUCUUUCUGAGGGGACUGAGGGUAGAGGAGAACCUCGUUCAGGGCAGGUCCUAUUCUGUCUGAGGGGACUGGGGGUAGAGGAGAACCUUGUUCAGGGCAGGUCCUAUUCUGUCUGAGGGGACUGAGGGUAGAAGAGAACCUUGUUCAGGGCAGGUCCUAUUCUGUCUGAGGGGACUGGGGGUAGAGGAGAACCUUGUUCAGGGCUUGAGUUCAUAAAGAAUAUCUGAUCUAGUCCGACCUCUU
ensembl:lncRNA